rnacentral:misc_RNA from 1 species
ACGGGGAGAGAGAUGAGGAGAAUUCAACAAAUUACGCAAAAGGUUUAAGUCUUACAGAAGUUGGCGAGAAAAGACUCACGAGACCCUCAUUAACAACUUCUUCUACUCUGAAAGAAUAUGAUUAGAUUGGUUGUCUCUUUUGAUCCUAUCCAAAACUUCAAAUCCAAACAUAUUAUUUGAAAGAUAAAUUAGACGUUACUCCUUCAAAAUACAGCCGAGUGGGGCUCCCAGAACAGUGCCAAGACUGC